GUUGAAGAAACAGCGUAUGAGUGAAAGGUGGCAAAAAGCAGAAAGCAGACAGAGUCGCUUUCGAGCUUCAGAGUGUCAAAGCCUCAAAAUUUUCCUUUAACGUGAGAACGCGCUGAUUAAAAAGUCAUUCACACAGCCUAACUAUGACUCUUCAUCUCCUUCUUCUUCUUCUCCGCCGGCCCACCACCUAUUCCAACAAAGCUCCUUCUGUGAAUUCUCUACUUUUCUUUCACAAGAUUCUCCUUUAUUUUCCACCAUAUACUAUAAUUUUUCAUAUUCUUCUUUCCCUCUGGCCUUCCAAUUUAAGGGUAUCCAUGGUGAAGGCUAACAUGUAAUUUACUCAUCUAGAGGCACUAUCAAUUGAUUAGAAUAUUUGUCACGCAAAACGCAAAUUGACAUGAGUUGUUGCCUUUUUGGUGCCCGAAAAAAGGGUGGUGAUCUUGUUCAUCAUGAUACAAGAGAUACAGAAGACCGCGCCGUUGCAAGCACAAAGAAUUUUUCCUUUAGUGAAUUAAGAAUAGCAACCAACAACUUCCAUCAAACUAAUAAAAUAGGGCGAGGCGGUUUUGGCACAGUAUACAAGGGAACUCUAAAAAAUGGAAAAGAAAUUGCUGUGAAGACACUUGCAGCGGAAUCAAAGCAGGGUUUGCGGGAGUUUUUGACUGAAAUUGAGACCAUAUCAAAUGUCAGACAUCCAAAUCUAGUUGAGAUAAUUGGAUGUUGUGCUGAUGGAAAUAACCGGAUUUUGGUCUAUGAAUAUUUAGUAAAUAGAAGCCUUGAUCAAGCACUGUUUGGUUCCAGGAUUAGCAUUAAGUUGGAAUGGGACAAAAGGGCUGCUAUUUGCUUGGGUACUGCUCAAGGUCUUGCAUAUCUACAUGAAGAACUAGUGCCACAUAUCGUGCACAGGGACAUAAAAGCUAGUAAUAUUCUACUUGACAAGGAUUAUACGCCAAAAAUUGGAGAUUUUGGGCUUGCCAAGCUUUUCCCAGAUAAUAUCACCCAUAUCAGCACGAAAAUAGCGGGAACAACUGGCUACCUGGCUCCCGAAUAUGUAUUAGGCGGACAAUUAACAAUGAAGGCUGAUGUUUACAGUUUUGGGGUCCUAAUACUGGAAACAAUUAGUGGCAGGAGCAGCAGCAGCAGUAUUUGGCGAGGGGAUAAGAAGUCACUUCUCGGAUGGGCCUGGCAGCUCUAUGAGGACAGAAAGCUAUUGGAGCUGGUAGAUGCUGAAUUGGAUGAUUUCCUCGAAAAAGAAGUCGUCAGGUACAUUAAGGUAGCUCUCUUUUGCACCCAAGCAAAUGCAAACAGAAGACCGAUGAUGAGCCAGGUUAUUGAGAUGCUUUCAAGAAAUAUCCAGCUAAAUGAGAAAGAACUUACACCACCUGGUUUCUUCCAAGAUUCUGAUGCAAGCAUGCGUUCAAAAUUGAAGUCGUCUGAAUGCAGUACUAGUCAACAGAGUUCUGUAACCUUCGCAAUCACUCAGGUGACCCCUAGAUAAUCAUCAUUGGUGAAUGGCACUUGAGCAUCAUUCUUCCUGGGAGAUUGCUUGUGGCUUAAGGAAGCCUAUUCAUCAUCUCUCAAGAAUUGGAUGAUUUCUCGAAAAAGAAGUCGUAAGGUACAUCAAGGUAUCUCUCUUUUGCAUCCAAGCAAAUGCAAACAGAAGACCGACGAUGAGCCAGGUUAUUGAGAUGCUCUCAAGAAAUAUCCAGCUAAAUGAGAAAGAACUUACACCCCCUGGUUUCUUCCAAGAUUCUGAUGCAAGCAUGCGUUCAAAAUUGAAGUCGUCUGAAUGCAGAACUAGUCAACAGAGUUCUGUACCCUUCACAAUCACUCAAGUGAUCCCUAUAUAAUCAUCAUUGUUGCUCGCUAUGCCGAAGGGAUUGGGAAGCUGUGAACCACUUAUUUCUGCAUUGCAGCUUCACUAGUCAGAUUUGGCAUUUUAUUUUGUGUCAUGUUGGUAUCAAAUGGUGCAUGCUUAGGACCAGGGUCGGCUCAAGAAGAUUGGUGGCCUAAAGCCAAUUUUUAGUCUGGGGCCUUUCAGAGGAAGAAAAAAAACCAUCUAUAUUUUUAGUUGAAGUCUGUUUUUCUAGGUUUUUAAGAUGUAAAGUUGUUAAUAGUUUCUUUUAUAAAUAAUUUAAUCUCUCCUAAGAUAUUGUUGAU